GACGAACGCUGGCGGCGUGCUUAACACAUGCAAGUCGAACGGAAAGGCCCCUUUGGGGGUACUCGAGUGGCGAACGGGCGAGUAACACGUGAGUAACCUGCCCUUGACUUCGGGAUAACUUCAGGAAACUGGGGCUAAUACCGGAUAGGAAUCCUUGCUGCAUGGUGGGGGUUGGAAAGCUUCGGCGGUUUGGGAUGGACUCGCGGCUUAUCAGCUUGUUGGUGGGGUAGUGGCUUACCAAGGCUUUGACGGGUAGCCGGCCUGGGAGGGCGACCGGCCACAUUGGGACUGGGAUACGGCCCAGACUCCUACGGGAGGCAGGAGUGGGGAAUAAUGCACAAUGGGCGGAAGCCUGAUGCAGCAACGCCGCGUGCGGGAUGACGGCCUUCGGGUUGUAAACCGCUUUCAGCAGGGGCGAAGCUUGUGGUGACGGUACCUGCAGAAGAAGCACCGGCUAACUACGUG
rnacentral:rRNA from 1 species